GUCAUUAAUAACAUUUCAGUAAUUUAAACAAAUAACUUACAAUUAUUUUUAAAAUUCUAAAAAAAAUGUAACAUUUGUUCGACCAUGUUAUCAAUAGUGUAUCCACAGGUAGCAGACGACAAUAAAAAGUGGAAAUUUGCGACUUCCGGUGUGUCUGCUACUCGAUGUUGUGAUCUCAGUUACUUCCCCUGACGUUCAGUAUAUGAAAUGAGGGUCGAGUUUCAGGAUUUGAAAUUAAGAAAGGACGAAAGAUAUAAAAUGAGCAUCGGCAACAUGAUCUUGGCAUGUUACAUCCUUAUCACAGAAGUGGAACCUACUGAUUAUGAUGAGGUGUAUCGGGGAUCAAUACGGAACAUGGUAAAUUGAGCAGGUGAAGGAAUGAAGAAAACACAACCCUCUUUACAGUCAGCAAAAUAACUAUACUUCCGGUUUGGAACUACUGCAUGCCGUUACAACAUAUGUGACAAAGAGAUUUUAAUCCACCUGAUACGAUUUGGUAUCUUUCUGAAAAUAUCAUGUUCAAAUUCUGAAUGGUGUUUUUUUCUGCCAAGUUUAAGAAAUAUAUUACCAUGUAACUGUAUAAUAUUUAUGGCAAUUAUGAAGUAAUAGUGAGUUUUUGGCGUAGUAAUAAAAACCAUGAAAGGUGUUACCUCGAUUGGAUUUUCUACAUGAGCUUGAAAAAUAACACCUUCAUAAAUGCCUUGAUGUGAACAUAAUGGCAGGGAUAUUUUAUUUGCUUUUUACAUUGUACAUCUUCUAUUUAACAUACUGUACCGUCUAUGAAUUGAAAUUGCAAUAAUGAGUAUAAUUGCAAUAAUGAAUAAUGCACUUUUUUGCAAAGUAUAUUUCAAGUGGUGUAAUAAGUAAAAUUUGAUCAGGAAUGCACAUUUAUUAAGACUUAAUAUAUAUGCAAACAUACUGUACCGUUAACAUAAUAGCAAUAGUAAAAUUGCAGAAAUGAAUGAUGCGCAUUUUUUACAAUGUAUAUUUCAAAAAGUGUAAUAAGUAACAUUUAAUAGUUAAUAAAGACAUACUAGGCCGUACAAUGAGAAAUAAUGAUAAUUUAACAACGUCAUGAUAGAAACAUCCUUUUUGAAAUUUCUUAACAUUUAGAUAAUAAUAACACCACCAAGAAUAUCACCACUACCACCAAAAAACAACAU